UGCCAUGUAGCUCAACAGGUAGAGCGUCCAGAGACUGUCUUUCAGGUACCUGGAGAUGCGAGUUCGAAUCUCGUCCGUGACAA